rnacentral:rRNA from 1 species
GUUGGGAAAGCGAGCGGCGGAUGGGUGAGUAACACGUGGGGAACCUGCCCCUAAGUCUGGGAUACCAUUUGGAAACAGGUGCUAAUACCGGAUAAUAAAGCAGAUCGCAUGAUCAGCUUUUGAAAGGCGGCGUAAGCUGUCGCUAAGGGAUGGCCCCGCGGUGCAUUAGCUAGUUGGUAAGGUAACGGCUUACCAAGGCGACGAUGCAUAGCCGAGUUGAGAGACUGAUCGGCCACAUUGGGACUGAGACACGGCCCAAACUCCUACGGGAGGCAGCAGUAGGGAAUCUUCCACAAUGGACGCAAGUCUGAUGGAGCAACGCCGCGUGAGUGAAGAAGGUUUUCGGAUCGUAAAGCUCUGUUGUUGGUGAAGAAGGAUAGAGGUAGUAACUGGCCUUUAUUUGACGGUAAUCAACCAGAAAGUCACGGCUAACUACGUGCCAGCAGCCGCGGUAAUACGUAGGUGGCAAGCGUUGUCCGGAUUUAUUGGGCGUAAAGCGAGCGCAGGCGGAAAAAUAAGUCUAAUGUGAAAGCCCUCGGCUUAACCGAGGAACUGCAUCGGAAACUGUUUUUCUUGAGUGCAGAAGAGGAGAGUGGAACUCCAUGUGUAGCGGUGGAAUGCGUAGAUAUAUGGAAGAACACCAGUGGCGAAGGCGGCUCUCUGGUCUGCAACUGACGCUGAGGCUCGAAAGCAUGGGUAGCGAACAGGAUUAGAUACCCUGGUAGUCCAUGCCGUAAACGAUGAGUGCUAAGUGUUGGGAGGUUUCCGCCUCUCAGUGCUGCAGCUAACGCAUUAAGCACUCCGCCUGGGGGAGUACGACCGCAAGGUUGAAACUCAAAGGAAUUGACGGGGGGCCCGCACAAGCGGUGGA